GGCGCACGGGUGAGUAACACGUGGGUAACCUGCCCUUGAGUGGGGGAUAACCUGGCGAAAGCCGGGCUAAUACCGCGUAAGACCACGACCGGUCAGCCGGUUGCGGUAAAACGGUGGCCUCUUCAUGAAAGCUAUCGCUCAAGGAUGGGCCCGCGGCCUAUUAGCUAGUUGGUGGGGUAACGGCCCACCAAGGCGACGAUGGGUAGCCGGCCUGAGAGGGUGAACGGCCACACUGGCACUGAGACACGGGCCAGACUCCUACGGGAGGCAGCAGUGGGGAAUUUUGCGCAAUGGGGGAAACCCUGACGCAGCAACGCCGCGUGAGUGAUGAAGGCCUUCGGGUUGUAAAGCUCUUUGAGUGGAGACGAAGCCAUGCAGGGUGAAUAUCCCUGCGGUCUGACGGUAUCCACAGAACAAGUUCCGGCUAACUACGUGCCAGCAGCCGCGGUAAUACGUAGGGAGCAAGCGUUGUUCGGAAUUAUUGGGCGUAAAGAGCGCGUAGGCGGCUUGGUAAGUCUGAUGUGAAAUCCCGGGGCUCAACCCCGGAACUGCAUUG
rnacentral:rRNA from 1 species